CAACCAUGAUGAGGGCACUGUCUUUGUAGACUCUUGAAUCUGCCCCAUGCUUUAAAUAAUAAUUCUUCAUAUGCCUGAGCAAAAUUUGUGAUGCAAUUCCUCAUAUA